rnacentral:misc_RNA from 1 species
UUUCCGUUGGUGAACCAGCGGAAGGAUCAUUACAGAGAUCAUGCCCUCACGGGUAGACCUCCCACCCUGUGUUACUUACGUUUGUUGCUUUGGCAGGUCGCCUUCGGGCACUCGGCUCUCGCUGAGGUGCGCCUGCCAGAGGACCCCCAACUCUGUGUUUAGUGUUGUCCGAGUAAUAUAUUUAAUACGUUAAAACUUUCAACAACGGAUCUCUUGGUUCUGGCAUCGAUGAAGAACGCAGC